UGGCCGAAGCCUAAGCAAGGCACAAAAGUUGAAAAGAGAGCCAAGUACUGCUGGAGUGUGUUCAUUCAUCGACUGUCUCACAAGCGGAAAAUGCGAAGACUCAGAGGAGCACGCAAAGAAAAUGAACAUCCAGGAGAUACUUUUGCAGAUGAUGCACGUGAAACUGUGAACGACAUUACUGAAGGGCUGAUCCAUGCUAUGACCUCAAACGAGGCACUCAACGAGCUGAACGUUUUGCAGGAGCUUGGAAACAGUGUUUCCUAUGAUGUACCACGCGUGAAGCAGUUGCUCAAAAUCACCUACAAUAUAAGGAAGCUUGAGCAUCCCGAGGAACUCCCAAGCUACUACCUCAGUGAA